ACGGGAGGCAGCAGUGAGGAAUAUUGGUCAAUGGACGGAAGUCUGAACCAGCCAAGUCGCGUGAAGGAUGAAGGUAUUAUGUAUUGUAAACUUCUUUAGCAGUGGAGUAAUAAGGGGAUCGCGAUCCCUGAUGCAAGUACACUGAGAAUAAGGAUCGGCUAACUCCGUGCCAGCAGCCGCGGUAAUACGGAGGAUCCGAGCGUUAUCCGGAUUUAUUGGGUUUAAAGGGUGCGCAGGCGGCUUUUUAAGUCAGUGGUUAAAUCGUGACGCUCAACGUCAUCACGCCAUUGAUACUGGAGAGCUUGAUUGCGGUCGAGGUUUGCGGAAUUCGUUGUGUAGCGGUGAAAUGCAUAGAUAUGACGAAGAACUCCGAUUGGGAAGCCAGCUUACUGUAGCGCCACUGACGCUGAUGCUCGAAAGCGUGGGUAUCGAACAGGAUUAGAUACCCUGGUA
rnacentral:rRNA from 1 species